rnacentral:rRNA from 1 species
UACGAAGGGUGCAAGCGUUGUUCGGUUUUGCUGGGCGUAAAGCGUGUGUAGGCGGAUAUAUAAGUCAGGUGUGAAAGCCCGGGGCUCAACCCCGGAAUUGCAUUUGAAACUAUAUAUCUAGAGUAUAAUAGAGGAUAACGGAACUCCGAGUGUAGAGGUGGAAUUCGUAGAUAUUCGGAAGAACAUCAGUGGCGAAAGCGGUUAUCUAGAUUAUUACUGACGCUGAGAUACGAAAGCAUGGGGAGCAAAC